rnacentral:rRNA from 1 species
UGGGAAUUUUGGACAAUGGGCGCAAGCCUGAUCCAGCCAUGCCGCGUGCGGGAAGAAGGCCUUCGGGUUGUAACGCUUUUGUCAGGGAAGAAACUUCUGAGUUAAUACCUCGGGGAGGAUGACGGUACCUGAAGAAUAAGCACCGGCUAACUACGUGCCAGCAGCCGCGGUAAUACGUAGGGUGCAAGCGUUAAUCGGAAUUACUGGGCGUAAAGCGUGCGCAGGCGGUUUUGUAAGACAGAGGUGAAAUCCCCGGGNUCAACCUGGGAACUGCCUUGUGACUGCAAGGCUUGAGUGCGGCAGAGGGGAUGGAAUUUCCGCGUGUAGCAGUGAAAUGCGUAGAUAUGCGGAGGAACACCGAUGGCGAAGGCAAUCCCCUGGGCCUGCACUGACGCCCAUGCACGAAAAGCGUGGGGAGCAAACAGGAUUAGAUACCCUGGUAGUCCACGCCCU